GGUAUAGUUCUUCGGAACUAGAGACCGGCGCACGGGUGCGUAACGCGUAUGCAAUCUACCUUUUACAGAGGGAUAGCCCAGAGAAAUUUGGAUUAAUACCUCAUAGCAUAGCAGUCUCGCAUGAGAUCACUAUUAAAGUCACAACGGUAAAAGAUGAGCAUGCGUCCCAUUAGCUAGUUGGUAAGGUAACGGCUUACCAAGGCUACGAUGGGUAGGGGUCCUGAGAGGGAGAUCCCCCACACUGGUACUGAGACACGGACCAGACUCCUACGGGAGGCAGCAGUGAGGAAUAUUGGACAAUGGGCGCAAGCCUGAUCCAGCCAUGCCGCGUGCAGGAUGACGGUCCUAUGGAUUGUAAACUGCUUUUAUACGAGAAGAAACACUCCAACGUGUUGGAGCUUGACGGUAUCGUAAGAAUAAGGAUCGGCUAACUCCGUGCCAGCAGCCGCGGUAAUACGGAGGAUCCAAGCGUUAUCCGGAAUCAUUGGGUUUAAAGGGGUCCGUAGGCGGUUUAGUAAGUCAGUGGUGAAAGCCCAUCGCUCAACGGUGGAACGGCCAUUGAUACUGCUAAACUUGAAUUAUUAGGAAGUAACUAGAAUAUGUAGUGUAGCGGUGAAAUGCUUAGAGAUUACAUGGAAUACCAAUUGCGAAGGCAGGUUACUACUAAUGGAUUGACGCUGAUGGACGAAAGCGUGGGUAGCGAACAGGAUUAGAUACCCUGGUAGUCCACGCCGUAAACGAUGGAUACUAGCUGUUGGGAGCAAUCUCAGUGGCUAAGCGAAAGUGAUAAGUAUCCCACCUGGGGAGUACGUUCGCAAGAAUGAAACUCAAAGGAAUUGACGGGGGCCCGCACAAGCGGUGGAGCAUGUGGUUUAAUUCGAUGAUACGCGAGGAACCUUACCAAGGCUUAAAUGUAGAUUGACCGGUUUGGAAACAGAUCUUUCGCAAGACAAUUUACAAGGUGCUGCAUGGUUGUCGUCAGCUCGUGCCGUGAGGUGUCAGGUUAAGUCCUAUAACGAGCGCAACCCCUGUUGUUAGUUGCCAGCGAGUCAUGUCGGGAACUCUAACAAGACUGCCAGUGCAAACUGUGAGGAAGGUGGGGAUGACGUCAAAUCAUCACGGCCCUUACGCCUUGGGC
rnacentral:rRNA from 1 species